rnacentral:rRNA from 1 species
CCCUUAGAUGCUCUGGGCCACACGCGCGUUACACUGAUGAAGCCAGCGAGUAUAUCGCCUUCACCGGAAGGUGCGGGUAAUCUUGUGAAACUUCAUCGUGCUGGGGAUAGACCAUUGCAAUUAUUGGUCUUGAACGAGGAAUUCCUAGUAAGCAUGAGUCAUCAACUCGUGCUGAUUACGUCCCUGCCCUUUGUACACACCGCCCGUCGCUACUACCGAUUGAAUGGUUUAGUGAGAUCUCGGGAUUGGAGACGUUGCGCCGCAAGGCACAUCGUCCUCGAGAACUUGAUCAAACUUGAUCAUUUAGAGGAAGUAAAAGUCGUAACA